rnacentral:rRNA from 1 species
GAUGAACGCUGGCGGCGUGCUUAACACAUGCAAGUCGAACGGUAAGGCCCUGCUUUUUUGGUGUGUUCGUGUCGCGCACGUGUGUGUCACACGUGUAUCCCCUCCCUUUCUCUUUGGUAUACCUUCAGGACUCUGUCUCUAAUCCCGGAUAGGAGCUCCUCCUGCAUGGUGUGUUUUGGAGAUUUUUGGCGGUUGGGGAUGGACUCGCGGCUUAUCAGCUUGUUGGUGGGGUAGUGGCUUACCAAGGCCUUGACGGGUAGCCGGCCUGAGAGGGUGACCGGCCACAUUGGGACUGAGACACGGCCCAGACUCCUACGGGAGGCAGCAGUGGGGAAUAUUGCACAAUGGGCGGAAGCCUGAUGCAGCGACGCCGCGUGAGGGAUGACGGCCUUCGGGUUGUAAACCGCUUUCAGCAGGGAAGAAGCGAGAGUGACGGUAAUGGGAGAAGAAGCACCGGCUAACUACGUG